GAUGAACGCUGGCGGCGUGCUUUACACAUGCAAGUCGAACGGUAACAGGCCGCAAGGUGCUGACGAGUGGCGAACGGGUGAGUAAUGCAUCGGAACGUGCCCAGUCGUGGGGGAUAACGCAGCGAAAGCUGUGCUAAUACCGCAUACGAUCUAUGGAUGAAAGCGGGGGACCGUAAGGCUGCGCGCGAUUGGAGCGGCCGAUGUCAGAUGAGAUAGUUGGUGGGGUAAAGGCCCACCAAGGCGACGAUCUGUAGAUGGUCUGAGAGGACGCCCAGCCACGCUGGUACGGAGACACGGCCCAGACUACUACGGGAGGCAGCAGUGGGUAAUUUUGGACAAUGCGCGCAAGCCUGAUCCAGCAAUGCCGCGUGCAGGAAGAAGGCCUUCGGGUUGUAAACUGCUUUUGUACGAAACGAAUCGGUCUGGGUUAAUACCUCGGGCUAAUGACGGUACCGUAAGAAUAAGCACCGGCUAACUACGUGCCAGCCGCCGCGGUAA
rnacentral:rRNA from 1 species